CCCAGGUCACUUGACAGCCAAAUGGAGGAGUCAGUGUGCCAGCCCUCCGUUGGUCACUGUGGGAAGUUCUCUGGGCUUGUGGCCUCUUAGGCUGCUUCUUAGCCUGGCCUGUCUGAGGGCAGGGGCCAGGUCCCACCAUCUGAACACCCAUAGUGUUGCCACAGCACCUGGCAGCCAGCAGGGCUGCGAUAAAUUCUCCCAAGCCCAUGAAUGGAUGGGACCAACCUUAACUUCUCCACUUGACCGCUUCAUCUCUGAGUUUGUCCUUCUGUGCACCCAGGAGUACCCACACCAUCCACGGUAAUUGGCCCAGAAGAAGAUGGCUUCCCCAAGCUGCCUUCCACCUGCUCUUCCAGCACCCUGUGCACCCCUGCACAUACCAAGAAAUGAAAGCAAAGGCUGCUGGAGCCACAAAGGACCUCAGAGCAUCCAGUCCAGGCCCCUGAGAAGGGUUGUGUGGGAAUUCCACCACCUGGGGACUAUUUGCAAGUCCAAGGAAGAGCCAAGUCCCAACACCAGCCUGAGAUGCCCCAAACGGGAAAGGACGAGGAGGCACCAGGACAGACAGCACCAAGUCGCUGGGUGCACAAUCUCAGCCGGCCCUUGCAGGCUGGGAGGAGGGGAGGGAACAGGGCGAUUGCACAACAAUAUUAAAUGCAGAAGAAAAAUUGGGGUUUAA